rnacentral:rRNA from 1 species
CCUACGGGGGGCAGCAGUGGGGAAUAUUGCACAAUGGGGGGAACCCUGAUGCAGCGACGCCGCGUGAGUGAAGAAGUAUUUCGGUAUGUAAAGCUCUAUCAGCAGGGAAGAAAAUGACGGUACCUGACUAAGAAGCCCCGGCUAACUACGUGCCAGCAGCCGCGGUAAUACGUAGGGGGCAAGCGUUAUCCGGAUUUACUGGGUGUAAAGGGAGCGUAGACGGUUAUGCAAGUCUGAAGUGAAAGCCCAAGGCUCAACCAUGGGACUGCUUUGGAAACUGUAAAACUGGAGUGCAGGAGAGGUAA